rnacentral:lncRNA from 1 species
UAAUGUUUACAUGUUUAAUAAUCAUAGAUCUUCCUUUAACAGUAAAUGUAGGUUACACUCAUACUCUAAUUAAUGUAUAUACAAUUUGUUACUUCAAAGUCAUCUAUAAAUGUACUGACCAAUCUAGGUUUCUCUAAAGAAAUUACUAUUACAUGUAAUAUCUGAUUCUUAUUAUUUAUACUAUAAACAUUCAAUUUGCUCUUCGGUCUCAGAAUAUAAUUGUCAAACUUUCAAUGUUAUUGCAGCUCUACUGUUCAACCCAUAUUCCGCAUAAACUUUCACAUUAAUUAGGAUUAAAGUUCUGUUAAAUUGAAUUGAUUAAUUAUUGACCAUCAUUUCUUUAAUAUAUAAAUUGACUCCCCGCCAAAAACAAAUUCGUUUUAACUCG